rnacentral:rRNA from 1 species
CCAAUAGCGUAUAUUAAAGGUGUUGCAGUUAAAAAGCUCGUAGUUGAAUUUCGGUGUUAGUAGGUUGGUCAUGCCUCUGGUAUGUACUGGUCUCACUGAUUCCUCCUUCCUGAUGAGCCGUAAUGCCAUUAAUUUGGUGUUGCGGGGAAUUUGGACUGUUACUUUGAAAAAAUUAGAGUGUUUAAAGCAAGCUAACGCUUGAAUACAUUAGCAGGGAACAAUGAAAUAGGACGUUCGAUCCUAUUUUGUUGGUUUCUAGGAUUGACGUAAUGAUUAAUAGGGAUAGUUGGGGGCAUUAGUAUUCAAUUGUCAGAGGUGAAAUUCUUGGAUUUAUUGAAGACUAACUACUGCGAAAGCAUUUGCCAAGGAUGUUUUCAUUAAUCAAGAACGAAAGUUAGGGGAUCGAAGACGAUCAGAUACCGUCGUAGUCUUAACCAUAAACUAUGCCGACUAGGGAUCGGAUGAUGUUAAUUUUUUAAUGACUCAUUCGGCGCCUUACG